GAACGCUGGCGGCGUGGAUAAGACAUGCAAGUCGAACGGAGAAUAUGAAUAGCUUGCUAAUUGUAUUCUUAGUGGCGGACGGGUGCGUAACACGUGAGCAACCUGCUCUGAAGUGGGGGAUAGCCUUUCGAAAGGAAGAUUAAUACCGCAUGUGGUCUCCGGACCAAAGAUGGCUUCGGCUGUCGCUUCAGAAUGGGCUCGCGGCCUAUCAGCUUGUUGGUGAGGUAACGGCUCACCAAGGCGACGACGGGUAGCUGGUCUGAGAGGACGAUCAGCCACACUGGAACUGAGACACGGUCCAGACACCUACGGGUGGCAGCAGUCGAGAAUCAUUCACAAUGGGGGAAACCCUGAUGGUGCAACGCCGCGUGGAGGAUGAAGGCCCUAGGGUCGUAAACUCCUGUCAUCGGAGAGUAAGCCUUGGUCGUUAAUAGCUUCCAAGGUUGAUAGUAUCCGAAGAGGAAGGGACGGCUAACUUCGUGCCAGCAGCCGCGGUAAUACGAAGGUCCCAAGCGUUGUUCGGAAUCACUGGGCGUAAAGAGUAUGUAGGCGGUGUGGAAAGUCAGAUGUGAAAUCUCCAGGCUCAACCUGGAAACUGCAUCCGAUACUACCACACUAGAGUAAUGGAGGGGUAACUGGAAUUCUCGGUGUAGCAGUGAAAUGCGUAGAUAUCGAGAGGAACACUCGUGGCGAAGGCGAGUUACUGGACAUUUACUGACGCUGAGAUACGAAGGCCAGGGUAGCGAAAGGGAUUAGAUACCCCUGUAGUCCUGGC
rnacentral:rRNA from 1 species